UGUUUGGUUAUUUUGCCGCUGAGUGUUAUCAACUUUGUUUAAAUCUAAAACUUUACUAUUAUGGGAGAAUUAACUGUUACUAAUAUGUUCGAAUCACAAACCAUACAAGCAGACCACAAGGAUCUUAUUCACGAUGUUGCAUACGAUUUCUACGGCGAGAGAAUGGCUACAUGUUCAAGCGACCAGUAUGUUAAGGUGUGGGACACAGAUGGAAAGGGGGGCUGGAGGCUCACAGGCAGCUGGAAGGCCCACCACGGCUCCGUGUGGAAGGUCACCUGGGCCCAUCCGGAGUUUGGACAAGUGCUUGCUACAUGCUCCUUCGACAGAACCGCUGCUAUUUGGGAGGAAGUUGGAGACACAAACGCAAUGGGUUCAGAGAAAGGCCUCCGCACAUGGGUGAAACGAUCCAACCUCGUUGACUCCAGGACUUCUGUAACGGAUGUCAAGUUUGGGCCUAAACAUCUAGGUCUGCUGUUGGUCACAUGCUCGGCUGAUGGAAUUAUAAGGAUUUACGAAGCACCAGACGUGAUGAAUCUAGCGCAGUGGACUCUGCAGCACGAGAUUCCUACAAAAGUCUCAGUCAGUUGCCUCUCAUGGAACCCUUCCCUGUCAAAAGUAAACCCCCCAAUGCUGGCAGUGGGCAGCGAUGAACCGAACACAACAAACGCUGUGGUCAGCGUACAGACAGACAAAAGCACCUCUUGUAACGGAAAAGUCUUCAUAUACGAAUACAGCGACGCGUCCCGGCGCUGGACUCGAACCGACGUCCUGUCGUCGGUACAGGAGCCAGUUAACGACAUAGCCUUCGCCCCCAACUUAGGAAGAUCUUUCCAUUUGUUAGCAGUGGCCACCAAAGAUGUUAGGAUUAUCAAAAUUGAACCGGUCACAGAUUCGAACGCAUCAAACAACGGUUGCGGAGUGCGUUUCAAGACCGAAGUGUUGGCAGCGUUCGAAGACCACUACUCAUGCGUGUGGCGAGUCUCUUGGAACGUGACCGGGACAUUGCUGGCCUCUUCCGGGGACGACUGCUGCGUCAGAUUGUGGAAAAUGCAAUACCUGAACCAAUGGAAAUGCGUGGCGGUGUUCAAGAACGAGUCGUCGGCGGGCGCGGCCGCGGGCGCCCCGGGCCGCGCCUCCACCGCGUACGUGCGCCUGGCCGCCAUCGCCGACCCCGCGCUCAUGCCGCGACACUGACACACGUACGUGCGCCUGGCCGCCAUCGCCGACCCCGCGCUCAUGCCGCGACACUGACACACGUACGUGCGCCUGGCCGCCAUCGCCGACCCCGCGCUCAUGCCGCGACACUGACACACGUACGUGCGCCUGGCCGCCAUCGCCGACCCCGCGCUCAUGCCGCGACACUGACACACGUACGUGCGCCUGGCCGCCAUCGCCGACCCCGCGCUCAUGCCGCGACACUGACACACGUACGUGCGCCUGGCCGCCAUCGCCGACCCCGCGCUCAUGCCGCGACACUGACACACGUACGUGCGCCUGGCCGCCAUCGCCGACCCCGCGCUCAUGCCGCGACACUGACACACGUACGUGCGCCUGGCCGCCAUCGCCGACCCCGCGCUCAUGCCGCGACACUGACACACGUACGUGCGCCUGGCCGCCAUCGCCGACCCCGCGCUCAUGCCGCGACACUGACACACGUACGUGCGCCUGGCCGCCAUCGCCGACCCCGCGCUCAUGCCGCGACACUGACACACGUACGUGCGCCUGGCCGCCAUCGCCGACCCCGCGCUCAUGCCGCGACACUGACACACGUACGUGCGCCUGGCCGCCAUCGCCGACCCCGCGCUCAUGCCGCGACACUGACACACGUACGUGCGCCUGGCCGCCAUCGCCGACCCCGCGCUCAUGCCGCGACACUGACACACGUACGUGCGCCUGGCCGCCAUCGCCGACCCCGCGCUCAUGCCGCGACACUGACACGCGUACGUGCGCCUGGCCGCCAUCGCCGACCCCGCGCUCAUGCCGCGACACUGACACACGUACGUGCGCCUGGCCGCCAUCGCCGACCCCGCGCUCAUGCCGCGACACUGACACACGUACGUGCGCCUGGCCGCCAUCGCCGACCCCGCGCUCAUGCCGCGACACUGACACACGUACGUGCGCCUGGCCGCCAUCGCCGACCCCGCGCUCAUGCCGCGACACUGACACACGUAAUCUUCAGACAAACCCAAGCGCAAUCAAAACAAAGCCUAAGUGUUGUAAAGGACUGAAAAUAUUGUUAAUUGUAAAUAUAUUUUUUUAUUUUAUUUAAGUUUCCUGUCCUUGUUAUACUUCUAAGAAGUGAGAGAGCUGCACAUAUGGUUAGUAUUGCUAAAAAACAGAUUCCAUACUCAGUGUGUGUCAAAUCAUUCGACAAUGAGAACUAGCGUUGCCGAAAUAUAUAUUUAUUUAUAUAUAGCUGUUUGGCUUAUAAAUAAAUAUAUAUAUAUAUUUAUAAGCCAAACAGCUGAACGUGGCCCUCAUCAGUCUUUUCAAGACUGUUGGCUCAGUCUAGGGAUACAGACGUGAUUAUAUGUAUGUAGUAAAAACUUUUUACACAAACCUACUCCCGUCUGACCUCCACAACCUCGUAAGGAAACUAACCCACCUCUGUCAUUAUUAUUUCUGAAUUAUAAUCACCAAUGUUUCAUUCAUCAUCAAAACAUAUGUUUCUGUUGUUAUAUUAUUAUGUUUCACUAAGGUUUCGAAAUGUUAAAGUGACCUUUAUUUAAUGUACUCGAAGUAACUAAUUGUUUUUGCAUCUUUUCAAUCGAAUAAAUUGUGUC